rnacentral:rRNA from 1 species
AUUGAACGCUGGCGGCAGGCCUAACACAUGCAAGUCGAACGCGUGGCGGACGGGUGAGUAAUGUGUGGGAAACUGCCCGAUGGGGGGGGAUAACUACUGGAAACGGUAGCUAAUACCGCAUACCCUCAGAUGUGCCCAGCUGGGAUUAGCUAGUAGGGGGGGUAAGGGCUCACCUAGGCGACGAUCCCUAGCUGGUCUGAGAGGAUGACCAGCCACACUGGAACUGAGACACGGUCCAGACUCCUACGGGAGGCAGCAGUGGGGAAUAUUGCACAAUGGGCGCAAGCCUGAUGCAGCCAUGCCGCGUGUAUGAAGAAGGCCUUCGGGUUGUAAAGUACUUUCAGCGGGGAGGCGUUACCCGCAGAAGAAGCACCGGCUAACUCCGUGCCAGCAGCCGCGGUAAUAC